GGGGACGUGGUGUAGGGGUUAUCACGCUUCAUUUGCAUUGAAGAGGUCAGGAGUUCAAUUCUCCUCGUCUCCA
rnacentral:tRNA from 1 species